ACCAGAUCCACCAGGUCUCUGCACAGCCACUCUGCUCAUUACCUGGGGAUAAAUAUUUUUUUUUCUUGGUUUGCAGCUGUUGCAAGAGAAUUCCUUUCACUCAAGUACCCCCUGGCUGCAGUUUCCAUCAGAAAAUCUAUUUACUGGAAUUGAAUACGAAGACUACCAGCCUUGCAAGUCCAAGCUUGUACCCGGCAUCAACUCAGCCGAGGAUCUCCAGCAUCUUACAAGAUGCACACAGGGCAAAUCAUCCUUAGGUUAUUGAAGUCCCCGGCUUCCAAAAACAUUAAUUUUACAUUUUGUCAAAUAGAAGGAAGUUCAGUAGAUUCAAAUAAAACCAGACUGAAUAAUCCUACCUAAUGUCCUUUUUCCUUCACUUUGAAAAAUUCAGCAACUGUGGAUGAAAC
ensembl:lncRNA